GGCUUACCUCCUCAGUUAUGCGUCAUGACUUGUAUCGUCUUGAGCGUAUUGUGGGUUUCCUGUGUUGCAUACCUAAUAAUGGAAUCGUUUUGGUUGAUUGAAGUCCCUUUUCAUCACGUGUUGCCUUUGCSACGCAUGAUGAACCUCGAAGCGGUCUCUAUGUUCCACCACGUUGAUGCUAGUGUGUUGAUGUUGUGGCCCAUUGAGUGUUGCUUGGUUUCGUGGAUACAGAACAUGAUUUGGGCAUAGGGUCACCUGUGACUCUUGUUUUGUCCUUUAUCAGUGUUCUCUAUAACGACGGUUCAUGCGCGCCUAGGCUCGUACCUGCGCGAUGUUCUUUGUCGAAGAGGAAUGCUACCUGGUUGAUCCUGCCAGUAGUCAUAUGCUUGUCUCAAAGAUUAAGCC
rnacentral:misc_RNA from 1 species